rnacentral:rRNA from 1 species
GACGAACGCUGGCGGCGUGCUUAACACAUGCAAGUCGAACGGCAAGGCCCUGCUUUUGUGGGGUGCUCGGGUGGCGAACGGGUGAGUAACACGUGAGUAACCUGCUCUUGUCUUUGGGAUAACUUCAGGAAACUGGGGCUACUCUCGUAUAGGAUCCCCCGUUGGAUGGUGGGGGGUGGAACUUUUCGGCUGGUGGGGAUGGACGGGCGGCUUAUCAGCUUGUUGGUGGGGUAGUGGCAUACCAAGCAUGUGACGGGUCGGCGGCCUGAGAGGGUGACCGGCCACAUUGGGACUGAGAGACGGCGCAGACUGCUAUGGGAGGCAGCAGUGGGGAAUAUUACACAGUGGGCCGGAGUCGGAUACAGCAACGCUGCGUGCGGGAUGACGGCCUUUGGGUUGUAAACAGCUGCAGCCUGUGACGAAGCGUUAGUGACGGUAAUGGGUGAAGAAGCACCGGCUAACUACGUG